GUAGGCGGUUUAAUAAGUGAAUAGUGAAACCUGGUGGCUCAACCAUACAGACUAUUAUUCAAACUGUUAAACUCGAGAAUGGUAGAGGUAACNUGGAAUUUCUAGUGUAGGAGUGAAAUCCGUAGAUAUUAGAAGGAACACCGAUGGCGUAGGCAGGUUACNUGGGCCAUUUCUGACGCUAAGGCACGAAAGCGUGGGGAGCGAACCGGAUUAGAUACCCGGGUAGUCCACGCCGUAAACGAUGGAUACUAGCUGUUGGAGGUAUCGACCCCUUCAGUAGCGAAGCUAACGCGUUAAGUAUCCCGCCUGUGGAGUACGGCCGCAAGGCUAAAACAUAAAGGAAUUGACGGGGACCCGCACAAGCGGUGGAUUAUGUUCUUUAAUUCGAUGAUAACCGAAGAACCUUACCAGGGCUUGACAUCCAGGGAAGGUCUGCGAAAGUAGACUGUGCCUUUUGGAACCCUGUGACAGGUGAUGCAUGGCCGUCGUCAGCUCGUGUCGUGAGAUGUUAGGUUAAGUCCUUCAACGAGCGCAACCCUUGUGAAUAGUUGUAUUUUUCUAUUCAGACUGCCCCGGUAACGGGGAGGAAGGAGGGGAUGAUGUCAGGUCAGUAUUUCCCUUACGUCCUGGGCUAGAAACGUAAUACAAUGGCUAGUACAAUGCGCAGCGAAGCC
rnacentral:rRNA from 1 species